rnacentral:lncRNA from 10 species
ACUUUUUCUUGUCGUUCGCGCCGCCGGCGCCCUCCAUGGUGAAUCGGUCCCCGCGAUGUCUUCACGGCGGGCGGCCCCCAGGCUCGCUCCGGCCUAAGCGCUGGCUCCCUCCACACGCGGAGAAGAGAAGGAAAGACUACAGUUCAACUGUCAAUUGGUUGAUCACCCGGAUUUUAUCUACACCUUAGCCUAUGGUUGUUCAUCUCGUCUCUGCCUAUGGCCCAUUGACUCCCGGAUCCCAGCUCCAUUCUUCGGUACUUUACGCACCCUGCUUCCAGUACCCCAACCAGAAGAAUAUAUAUAGCAGUUAACUGUCAGCUGGCGAAAAGGAGGAAAAUUCAGGAAGAUAAAAUAGCUGAAUGAAUUAUCCCCGCUCCAGAACGCAGAGGAAAAAUGAAAUGGCCAGACCCAGAUGUUAAAAAUGUGUUCCUUGCUCUUUCCUGCCCUAGCAAGGGCUGUUCCAUGUUUAGGGGAUGAAUGCCGCUGAGAGUAUUAGCAAAAAUACAUGUGUCAUUGAGUCUGAGGAAGAUAACUGAGACAUACAGGUAUUUCUCAUAAUGCAUGUGGGCAUCCAUAGACAUAUUCUUAAAUGGCUUAAGGACUUGGAAACUACCUCUAGGAAACCUGAAACUUGAAUGUUGGUCCACUAGGGAGAAGAAAUGUUCCAUUAGCCUUCCAACUAAAGAAAUACACUAUCAAGAAGAACAUUAGCUGUGUGUCCUAUAAGCUUGGGAGAAUAACUUACUUUUAUUUUAAUACAUAUGUUACUUUUAUGGUCAGUAUUUUGGUAAAAUAUAUGCUCUAUUAUGGCAGUAAUUUGUCUGUCUUAUUAAAUGCUAUAUCUGCAGUACCUUCUGUGCAUAACACAGCAAAGGAGCUCAAUAAAUAUCAUUUUGUUGCUGCCCUAAAAAGAGUUCCAGGAGCACUGGUGUGUAGAAGCUCUGGAAAUAAGGAAUGGUGUGAAUAAAUAAAUAGCUUACUUGGAAGCUCAGUGAAACCCAUGUUGGAUAAUUGCUGUGUUAACUAAUCCCAGAAAAGGGAGAAUUAGUAUCCUUGAGGACAGUCUUUUAGGAUGUGGUGAAGUGAUUGCUAUUUAUGGAUCAGGAUCUUGAGUUCUUGACCUGUUCCACCAUCCACAAUUCUGAUAACACUUCCUUCUUUAUGCUUCACUUUUUUCAUCCUAAAAUAAGGGAUUUGAGCAUAUGAUCUCCAAUUCUCUUCUAGCUCUAACAUUUUAUGACAAAGCUCCUUUAAAAUAAUUUAUUUUACACAGUCCUUAGAAAAUUAAGACUGAGAGGCCAGGCAUGGUAGCUCAAGCCUGUAAUCCCAGCACUUUGGGAGGCCGAGGCGGGUGGAUCACGAGAUCAGGAGAUCAAGACCAUCCUGACUAACACGGUGAAACCCCAUCUCUACUAAAAAUACAAAAAAAUUAGCCAGGCGUGGUGGCGGGCACCUGUAGUCCCAGCUACUCAGGACGCUGAGGCAGGAGAGUCGCGUGAACCCAGAAGGCGGAGCUUGCAGUGAGCCAAGAUCAUGCCACUGCACUCCAGCCUGGGCGACAGAGUGAGACUCUGUCUCAAAAAAAAAAAAGAAAAUUAAGACUGAGAAACGUAGAGUGAGUAUUAUAACUAAAUAGGUGGACAAUUAGAGUCAAAGACCAAAUUUUUGUUAAGUAUUACAAAGAUAAGAAUUCUUCACAUUUGAAUUGAACAUUUAAUAUUUUCAAAGUGCAUUUGCAUCCAUCUCCUUAUUUGAUUUUCAAAGCCACCAUGCAAAACUAUUUAAUACAUUGCACUAAGAAAUAGGUUUAUGGCAGGAGUUUACAAAGAAAAUUAGUGAUAAGACUAGGAUUCAAAUCUCCAGAAUCCUGUUUUAGUUUUUUUCCUUUUAAAUAUAUAUUAAGUUGCCUAGUAAAAUAUUUUACAAAUAUUUAUUUUGAAAAUAUAAUAGGGCAUUUCUGGGUUGGCCAAAACUAAGAUUCCAAUACAGCUAUGGGGACAGAAAUAGGCACCUUCCUUUCCAUGUACAUCUAUUCCAUUUGAUUUGAUUUAUAAGGUUGCUGAUAAGCCUUUUGGGAAAAUAACUGGGAUAGCAUCAAUAAUUGGAUCUCAAGCAUACACAGGAACUUUUAGAUAAUGAAGAAUCUAAUGAGAGCAAAAUAGAACAAAAAAAACCAGCUGAAUCUCACAGACAAUUUGCCCUAUAGGGAAAAAGCCUGGUGUGAAUUGGAUUUAGCAACAAAAGCUAAGGGAUUGAAGAGCAGUUCUGGGUUUUUUGUUGGUUUUAAACACAUUAGGUUCUAAGAAAUGUUGCUGUGGGACCCUUUAACAUAGUUUAACACAGAAGGGAGAAAACUGUUUCCUUUCUCACCUAGCAACUCACUGCUGCUGUGCUAUUACAACUUAGCAAGGAUUGAGAGCACUGGUAGCUGGAGGGGCUAGCAAGGAUCUGUACCUGGUGUAAAACAUGAACAUAGCAGAGGCCAGCAGCUGCGUGUAAGCAGAGCUCCAGCCGGCAUUUAGCUGCACCAGAGCCCAAGCAUGGCAGAGGCCAGCCACAGUUAGGAGAGUGAAUGACCUGGACUACUUAAUUAAUGCAUGCAAGACAUUCCUCUGGGAUUCUCAAAAAUCUUUAGGGAAUUGGAAUUCCUGCCUAAACAGGUGGUGACUUCUACUAGCAAAAUGUCAUACAGGAUUACAAGACAAUGAGUACUGUUUUCUGGAUUUUGGCUCCUCUUAAACCAUGCUGUUCUAGGUUGCUUUGUGGUUAGAAGUUUAUCUUAAACUGUCUGAAUAAUUCCUUUUUUUUUUUUGAGACAGGGUCUCACUCAGUCACCCAGGCUAGAGUGUGGUAGCGCAAUCUUGGCUCACAGCAACCUCAGCCUUUUGGAAUCAAGUGAUCCUCUCACCUCAGCCUCCUGAGUAGCCUCAGGCCCACUCCACCACACCUGGCUAAUUUUUGUUUUUGUUUUUUUUGGAGAGACGAAUUUUCACCAUAUUGCCCAGGCUGGUCUCCAGCUCUUCAGCUCAGGUGAACACCCACCUUGGCCUCCCAAAGUGCUGGGAUUACAGGCGUGAGCCACCAUGCCCGGCCUGCCUGAAUAAUUUCUAAGCUUAUUCUUAGUGAGUGAUCUUGAUUUCAACUAACUCCUGAAUACCAUGCAAUUAUUUUCUCAUUAUAUUGUUUUAAAAUAUUUCCAGUGAAGGCUGCUAACAUGCAAAUUAAACUUUGUCUGAAGUUGAAAUGAUACUUCACUAAGUUUCUGAAAAAUCCAACCAAUAAAUAUAAGCUAUUUUUUGUGUUUGCGGAUUUCCUUUGCUAAAUUUGUGUCUCAUUCACUUUCUAAAAAAAUGAAUUAUAUCAAAAAAGUUUACAAAUUUUGUUGACAGGUUUCUUCAGAAAAACAUCUGACUUUUCUACAUCGAGACCUUAUAUACUGUUUCUUAACAACACUUAAUUUUCUGAAAAGGCAGAAAAUGUGACUUACUAUGUGACUAUAUUUUACUGAUGGUUUUAAUUAUUACAGUGAGAGAGUGAUAAAGAACUGGGCUAACAUUUUUGCAACCAGUUGAUCUAGAUGAACAAUGCAGUUUAAUGCAAGAACAUUAAGACAUACUUCUUUCAGGUGAGCUAUAAACCUUUGUGUCUUCCAGCCACGGAAUUUGCUCCAUCAGAAGCACUGGACACCUGAUUCUCCAAUGGCACUUGUGUUGUAUUAAACAAAAACUUUAUAGUAGCAAAAAUCGAUGUUCUAGUAUAGUCAGUUUCUAAAGAACUUACAAACAUCCCUUCUUGCAAUACACAAUCAUCAUUGAGACAACAAACAAUUGCCAUUAGGAGGGUUUUAUUGUAACUUUCAUCAAUUUGAAUAGAAAUUUUUUCUUGUUUUGAAUGUGCCAAUUAACUGCUUUUAAAUGUUAACUAACAACUCAUACAUAUGUCUUUGAAUUGAAUUCUUGCUCAAUGGCAGUUCUUUCAAAAUACUGGAUUUUGCUUCAUCACUAUUGAAAUUGCAGUCUAGGCAAAUGUAUGAGCAUGACCAGGUUUUGUAAGGAUUUCUGCAACUUUUUAAGACCC